rnacentral:rRNA from 1 species
CCUACGGGUGGCAGCAGUCGAGAAUUAUUCACAAUGGGGGAAACCCUGAUGGUGCGACGCCGCGUGGGGGAAUGAAGGUCUUCGGAUUGUAAACUCCUGUCAUGUGGGAGCAAAUUAAAAAGAUAGUACCACAAGAGGAAGAGACGGCUAACUCUGUGCAAGUAGCCGCGGUAAUACAGAGGUCUCAAGCGUUGUUCGGAAUCACUGGGCGUAAAGGGUGCGUAGGCUGUUUCGUAAGUCGUGUGUGAAAGGCGCGGGCUCAACCGGCGGACGGCACAUGAUACUGGGAGACUAGAGUAAUGUAGAGGGAAGCGGAAUUCUCGGUGUAGCAGUGAAAUGCGUAGAUAUCGAGAGGAACACUCAUGGCGAAGGCAGGUUCCUGGACAUUAACUGACGCUGAGGCACGAAGGCCAGGGGAGCGAAAGGGAUUAGAUACCCUGGUAGUC